UACGGAGGAUGCGAGCGUUAUCCGGAUUUAUUGGGUUUAAAGGGUGCGUAGGCGGAUUGAUAAGUCAGUGGUGAAAUUCUACAGCUUAACUGUAGACUUGCCGUUGAUACUGUUAGUCUUGAGUGUGGUAAAGGCAGGCGGAAUGUGUAAUGUAGCGGUGAAAUGCUUAGAUAUUACACAGAACACCGAUUGCGAAGGCAGCUUGCUGGGUCAUUACUGACGCUGAUGCACGAAAGCGUGGGGAUCAAACAGGA
rnacentral:rRNA from 1 species